rnacentral:rRNA from 1 species
AGUGAACGCUGGCGGCAGGCCUAACACAUGCAAGUCGAACGGCAGCACAGUAAGAGCUUGCUCUUACGGGUGGCGAGUGGCGGACGGGUGAGGAAUACAUCGGAAUCUACUUUUUCGUGGGGGAUAACGUAGGGAAACUUACGCUAAUACCGCAUACGACCUACGGGUGAAAGCAGGGGAUCUUCGGACCUUGCGCGUUUGAAUGAGCCGAUGUCGGAUUAGCUAGUUGGCGGGGUAAAGGCCCACCAAGGCGACGAUCCGUAGCUGGUCUGAGAGGAUGAUCGGCCACACUGGAACUGAGACACGGUCCAGACUCCUACGGGAGGCAGCAGUGGGGAAUAUUGGACAAUGGGCGAAAGCCUGAUCCAGCCAUGCCGCGUGAGUGAUGAAGGCCUUCGGGUUGUAAAGCCCUUUUGUUGGGAAAGAACAGCAGUAGGUUAAUACCCCGAUGUUCUGACGGUACCCAAAGAAUAAGCACCGGCUAACUUCGUG